rnacentral:rRNA from 1 species
CAGUCGCCGCGGUAAUACGAGGGGGGCAAGCGUUGUUCGGAAUUAUUGGGCGUAAAGGGCGCGUAGGCGGUUUGGCAAGUUUGGUGUGAAAUCUUCGGGCUCAACUCGAAGUCUGCAUCGAAAACUGCCGGGCUCGAGUGUGGGAGAGGUGAGUGGAAUUUCCGGUGUAGCGGUGGAAUGCGCAGAUAUCAGGAGGAACACCGAUGGCGAAGGCAGGUCUCUGGGCCGCAACUGACGCUGAGGAGCGAAAGCAUGGGGAGCGAACAGGAUUAGAUACCCCCGUAGUCCCUGUCUCUUAUAC